UACAGAGGGUGCGAGCGUUAAUCGGAAUUACUGGGCGUAAAGCGCGCGUAGGCGGCUUUGCAAGUCGGGUGUGAAAUCCCCAGGCUUAACUUGGGAACUGCAUUCGAGACUGCAUUGCUAGAGUAUGGGAGAGGGAAGUGGAAUUUCCGGUGUAGCGGUGAAAUGCGUAGAUAUCGGAAGGAACAUCAGUGGCGAAAGCGACUUCCUGGACCAAUACUGACGCUCAUGUGCGAAAGCGUGGGGAGCAAACAGG
rnacentral:rRNA from 1 species